AGCAUUAUUUUUCGAACCCCAAUGGGCAAGCUGUUGUUAUUUGUUGGUGAUCUGUCUUAUGCAGAUCAUGAUCAUUCAUUCAUACCAUGACAAUGACACCCAAUGGUGGCAACUAAACUUAGGAGGUGGCCGUAAUGAUUUAUUUUAAAAAAUUGCAUGAGAUCUA